rnacentral:rRNA from 1 species
AACUUUUAACAACGGAUCUCUAGGCUCUCGUAUCGAUGAAGAACGUAACAAAGUGCGAUAACUAAUGUGAAUUGCCUUAAAGUGGAUCAUCGAGUUUUUGAACGCAACUUGCGCCGAAUGGUACUCCAUUCGGCACGCUUGUUUCAGUA